GUCUGUACUAUGCAUCGGGUUUCGGGCAGCCACUGUGAUCUGAUAGUAUACCAAAGUCGCCGAUCAGGGAGUGUUAAAGAUUGUACAAAAAAACUGAGGAUCUGGGGUAGGAGCGUUGGGUGCGGUGGAAUUACAAGAGUUUUCCAGGAGAAAUAACAAAAUGGGAGAUGGGUCUGAAAUAUGGGAAACUCCUGUGAAAAACAGGAGUGUUGGCAGGUAUGGCAUAUAUUGUGCUUUUGUAAGUAUGUCAACAAAUAUUAAGACAAUUGUAACCAUAUCUAAAUAUCCCAGCAGCCUUUGCCACAGCACACUCUCCAACAACUGAAACUCAAACAGUCACAAAACAUUCAAGUGAGUAACCAUUAUUAUCUUAGCACAGUGGCAAAAUAUGACACUAUAUGAUAAUGAUUUUGUGCAAAACGCUCAUUUUUUUCAUUUUUGUGGAGCUUAAAUUUAAGCUUCUAUUUUUAAACACCUCUAAAUAUUUCAGCACCACCUGCAAGUACAAGCCCUUCUACAACUCAAACAGCAGAGCCUACAACACCUCCUGUCAGUACAAGUUCUUCUACAACUGAGUCUCAAACAGCAGAACUCACAAGUAAGUCAUGUAUAUGUACUAAACAAUUUCAUGCUUAGAUUUCACAUAUAUCUAAAUCUUAU
rnacentral:lncRNA from 1 species